UACGUAGGGAGCAAGCGUUGUCCGGAAUCAUUGGGCGUAAAGAGCUCGUAGGUGGCUUGGUCACGUCGGGUGUGAAAGCUUGGGGCUUAACUCCAGGUCUGCAUUCGAUACGGGCUGGCUAGAGGUAGGUAGGGGAGAACGGAAUUCCUGGUGUAGCGGUGAAAUGCGCAGAUAUCAAGGAGGAACACCGGUGGCGAAGGCGGUUCUCUGGGCCUUACCUGACGCUGAGGAGCGAAAGCAUGGGGAG
rnacentral:rRNA from 1 species